rnacentral:rRNA from 1 species
UACGUAGGGUGCGAGCGUUAAUCGGAAUUACUGGGCGUAAAGCGUGCGCAGGCUGUUUUGUAAGUCCGUUGUGAAAGUCAAAGGCUCAACCUUUGAAAGCCGAUGGAUACUGCAGAGCUAGAGUACGGAAGAGGCGAGUGGAAUUCCUGGUGUAGCGGUGGAAUGCGCAGAUAUCAGGAGGAACACCAAUAGCGAAGGCAGCUCGCUGGGACGUUACUGACACUGAGGCGCGAAAGCGUGGGGAGCGAACAGG